rnacentral:lncRNA from 1 species
UUAUGAGAUCUUGUUUCUUGGCGCUUCCUUAUGAGAUAGCCUCAUGGCAGUUUCUUGUAGUUCUAGUGAAUGCUGGAGGUGAUGACUGGUGUCCUGGGGCGGCCCUAAAGGGUUCGUUAUGCUUUUGAUGUGAACAAGAAAAUGUGAACUGGUCUUGAUCUGGAGACUUUGUAAAACCUGAUUGGGCGCUUUAUACCAUCAGCAACGGACUUUUGGGUUCCCCUGUCACUGGUCGACUAGGUAGCUCUCUAUAGGGCGCCGGGGCUUCUUUUUGCCAUUGGGAAUUAUGUUAACCAGCGUCUUUUGAAGCGAUUGGUUGGCUCAAGUUAUUCAGAGGUCACCAUGUGAAGGUACCUUCGAUCAACUGAAGCCGCUCAAGAGGCUCGAAGGGGC